rnacentral:snRNA from 1 species
GUAUGGUUCAACUUCUGUAAAAAUCUGUCACCCCACUGAUUGUCAGGGUCAAUUCCACCCAUCUGGCUCACUAGAUGACUGUCCCCUUUUUUCCCUCAACACUCCAUAUACAACCUUUCCCAAUAUAAGGCCUGAUGCAAAACAGUAACCCUGCCCAUAGAGGAGGCCUUUUCUUGGGUCAAAGGUAUAUGAAUAAGUG